GGCCAUUCAGGGUCACACCUGGAGAGUUUCCAAUACUCUACCAGUCUCGACUAUGGGAGGAAGAGUCAAGCAGAGGGCUACCCAUUCCAUUCCUAGCUUGAGCGGUGGCUAGUGAGUGGAAGACAAUCUGCUACCAGC